rnacentral:rRNA from 1 species
UGGGGAAUAUUGGACAAUGGGCGAAAGCCUGAUCCAGCCAUGCCGCGUGUGUGAAGAAGGUCUUCGGAUUGUAAAGCACUUUAAGUUGGGAGGAAGGGCAGUUACCUAAUACGUGAUUGUUUUGACGUUACCGACAGAAUAAGCACCGGCUAACUCUGUGCCAGCAGCCGCGGUAAUACAGAGGGGGCAAGCGUUAAUCGGAAUUACUGGGCGUAAAGCGCGCGUAGGUGGUUUGUUAAGUUGGAUGUGAAAUCCCCGGGCUCAACCUGGGAACUGCAUUCAAAACUGACUGACUAGAGUAUGGUAGAGGGUGGUGGAAUUUCCUGUGUAGCGGUGAAAUGCGUAGAUAUAGGAAGGAACACCAGUGGCGAAGGCGACCACCUGGACUAAUACUGACACUGAGGUGCGAAAGCGUGGGGAGCAAACA